rnacentral:rRNA from 1 species
UGUGAAGAUGCAGUGUACCCGCGGCAAGACGGAAAGACCCCGUGAACCUUUACUAUAGCUUGACACUGAACAUUGAGCCUUGAUGUGUAGGAUAGGUGGGAGGCUUUGAAGCGUGGACGCCAGUCUGCGUGGAGCCGACCUUGAAAUACCACCCUUUAAUGUUUGAUGUUCUAACGUGGACCCGUAAUCCGGGUUGCGGACAGUGUCUGGUGGGUAGUUUGACUGGGGCGGUCUCCUCCUAAAGAGUAACGGAGGAGCACGAAGGUUGGCUAAUCCUGGUCGGACAUCAGGAGGUUAGUGCAAUGGCAUAAGCCAGCUUGACUGCGAGCGUGACGGCGCGAGCAGGUGCGAAAGCAGGUCAUAGUGAUCCGGUGGUUCUGAAUGGAAGGGCCAUCGCUCAACGGAUAAAAGGUACUCCGGGGAUAACAGGCUGAUACCGCCCAAGAGUUCAUAUCGACGGCGGUGUUUGGCACCUCGAUGUCGGCUCAUCACAUCCUGGGGCUGAAGUAGGUCCCAAGGGUAUGGCUGUUCGCCAUUUAAAGUGGUACGCGAGCUGGGUUUAGAACGUCGUGAGACAGUUCGGUCCCUAUCUGCCGUGGGCGCUGGAGAACUGAGGGGGGCUGCUCCUAGUACGAGAGGACCGGAGUGGACGCAUCACUGGUGUUCGGGUUGUCAUGCCAAUGGCACUGCCCGGUAGCUAAAUGCGGAAGAGAUAAGUGCUGAAAGCAUCUAAGCACGAAACUUGCCCCGA